rnacentral:tRNA from 1 species
CGGGGUAUAGCUAAGUCAGAUUCAGCACCUCCCUUACACCGAGAAGACAUCCGUGCAAAUCGGAUUACCCCGA